rnacentral:lncRNA from 1 species
GUUCUCGAACGAACUCUGAAGUACUAGAAAUUGAAUGUCGAAGCACUUUAUCUUAUUCUUUGAAAAGAAAAACAACAAUGAUGGUAAUUUUAUAGUGUAACAUUACAACCACCUGCCCCAUGCAUAAGGGCUUUUGAAUAGGGAAAAAGGGGGCAGUUACUCUUGAUCCAGGAAUUGGGCGUAGAUUCAAAACAAGGGAAAACCCUUGGGAAUGAUAGCACUUCAUUAGAAUGCCUGGAAGCAGCCUAUCUUCUUCUUUAUCACUCAACUGAGGAAGUGAAAGAAGUAAAACUUUCCCUAUAAGAAUGAAAUAGGGAUUUCUCAUUAAAUUAGACUUUUUUUUGGAAAGAGUUUUCUUCCUCUUCAAUGAAGGGAAUCCAUCCUUCAACUCUUAUAUAAAGAACUCUUGAAAAAGUCU